GAAGGUCUAAGGCUGGGACCUCCUGCAACCCUAACCAGGCUUUCCCUGAGUUGGGAGGUGAAUUCCCAGAGAGCAGGGCUCCACGCCUGGACAGGUUGGACAGGAGAGGCCCAAGUGGGCAGAUGGAUCCCUCACCAGAGCUUGCAACAGACCUCUGCUCACUAAUUUUGUUUGGUAAAUAGCUAUCCUUCUUGCCAACAGAA
ensembl:ribozyme RNaseP_nuc Nuclear RNase P